AGCACUAGGAACCCAGCAUGCUGUGAGUGGAACCAACACAAAGAAAGAGGCAUAGUCAUGGGGCAAGUGUAUAUUUAAAAUUCCUCCCCCUCAUUCUCUUCUUCAAACGAAUCAGUCCCCACUUCUUCAUAAUCCUUCUCCAGAGCAGCCAGGUCCUCCCUGGCCUCAGAAAACUCUCCUUCUUCCAUACCCUCUCCAACAUACCAAUGUACAAAGGCCCGCUUGGCGUACAUGAGGUCAAACUUAUGGUCAAGGCGGGCCCAGGCCUCUGCGAUUGCUGUGGUGUUGCUCAGCAUGCACACGGCUCGCUGGACUUUGGCCAGGUCCCCUCCUGGCACGACAGUAGGUGGCUGGUAGUUGAUGCCCACCUGGGGAACAGAGAAAGAAGACAGGCCACAGGAUGACACACGAGUCCGCCAAAGACAACGUCAGGACAUCUGUUGUGGCAUCGUAGACCUGAGUCAAGUUGGGGACAAAUACCCCUGGGGAGAAUGUCAACAGGUGGAGCUCAGCAAUAUGGAUUCUGCUGGCCGGCGCCUUCCUGCAAAGCAAGUACAGUCUAACUCAUCUUUCCAUAGGGGACCUCAGAGCAAGCUUAAAAUAGAGGAGAGGGGCAUCCCCUCUGUGUUCAUCUCCCCACUCUCCCCACAUCUCUCGGUUUUUCUUCUUCCUUAUCAGCUUAUAUUGUUAUUUCAAAAAAAAAAAGAAGAAGAAGAAGUCCAGUGUUUAGACGACCAGAAUGACCAAACUGCCACAUAACUAGGUAGUGUCUAGGAAGAAAAAAACAAUGUGUGUCACAAGGAGAGGAGUGGUGAGCUGGAAAACUGUGUCCUCUUGCUCUGCAGGAGCAGCACAGCUGAUAGGAGGGGAGAAAGUCAGGACUUCAUGACUAAUAGGACUCAGUCACAUGAAGACUAGAAAUUCCCUUCGUGCUACUCUAAGCAGAAUAAGGCAUACAAGGCAAAAAGUUAACUUUUGUCAUCGAUUGGGAAUAUACAUCUUCUGUUAGAAGAAAGAAUUAUGCCUCUCUAGUAAUUUGAAUCAUGGGGUUGGCUCUAAAGUUAAAAUGCACCUACAAGUGUAAAAUAUCUAUUGAACUUCCUGUUCAGCAAACUAAAAUGAAUUGCAAGUCCUCAAGGCAUUGCGAUUCAGGUCCCUCAGUU
ensembl:antisense Gm15856 predicted gene 15856